GCCGCCGCUGGUGGCAGAAGGAAGAUGGCGGCGUCCUGAGUCUCUGACUGACGGAAGCGCAGGCGGUCGAUUCGGGAUCACGGAGCUGCAGCAGCCGCGCGUACCGGAGGCACGGAACCGAGCCGCUUCUGACAGCGCAGAUCCAGGCCCUGCCUGAAGAUGAACGUCCUCAAAGACAACAAAGACUUGGCCUGUUUCUACACAACCAAACACUCCUGGAGGGGGAAGUACAAGCGUGUUUUCUCCGUGGGAACUCAUGGCAUCACCACAUACAAUCCCACCACACUAGAAGUGACUAACCAGGUACUGCAUUUCACCUGUGUGC